AAAGAACUGUAUGCGG
rnacentral:rRNA from 1 species